rfam:Tupaia chinensis contig53913, whole genome shotgun sequence.
GUGCUCGCUUUGGCAGCACAUAUACUAAAACUGGAACCAUGCAGAGAAGAAUAGCAUGGCCCUGCACAAGGAUGACACGCAAAAUCGCAAAGCAGUCCAUAUUCUU